rnacentral:rRNA from 1 species
UACGGAGGAUGCAAGCGUUAUCCGGAAUCAUUGGGCGUAAAGCGUCCGCAGGUGGCCAGAUAAGUCUGUUGUUAAAGCAUGGGGCUUAACCCCAUAUCGGCAAUGGAAACUGUUCGGCUAGAGUAUGGUAGGGGUCAGGGGAAUUCCCAGUGUAGCGGUGAAAUGCGUAGAUAUUGGGAAGAACACCGGUGGCGAAAGCGCCUGACUGGGCCAUAACUGACACUCAUGGACGAAAGCUAGGGGAGCGAAAGGG